rnacentral:rRNA from 1 species
CCUGCCGGACCCCACUGCUAUCGGGAUGGGACUAAGACAUGCUAGUCGUGCGCUUUCUAGCCAUGCUGGAAGCGCGGCACACAGCUCAGUAGCACGUGACUAACCUGCCCUUGGGACGGGAGCAACCCCGGGAAACUGGGGCUAAUUCCCGAUAGGUGAAGAUCCCUGGAAUGGGUUUUCGCCCAAAAGACGUUUGGGUCAUGCUUUCAGACGUUGCCCAAGGAUGGGGCCGCGGCCGAUCAGGUUGUUGGUGAGGUAACGGCUCACCAAGCCUUUGACCGGUUCGGGCCGUGAGAGCGGUAGCCCGGAGAUGGGCACUGAGACAAGGGCCCAGGCCCUACGGGGCGCAGCAGUCGCGAAAACUUCGCAAUAAGCGAAAGCUUGACGGGGUCAUACCGAGUGCCAUCUGCUGAGGAUGGCUUUUACCCAGUAUAGAUAGCUGGGGGAAUAAGGAGAGGGCAAGUCUGGUGUCAGCCGCCGCGGUAAUACCAGCUCUCUGAGUUGUGGGGACGUUUAUUGAGCCUGAAGCAUCCGUAGCCGGCUGUGUAAGUCCUCUGCUAAAUCCAGCGACUAAUCGUUGGCCUGCGGGGGAUACUGCUCGGCUAGGGGGCGGGAGAGGCCGUCGGUAUUCUUGGGGUAGGGGUGAAAUCCUAUAAUCCCAGGAGGACCACCAGUGGCGAAGGCUGUCGGCUAGAACGCGCCCGACGGUGAGGGAUGAAAGCUGGGGGAGCGAACCGGAUUAGAUACCCGGGUAGUCCCAGCUGUAAACGAUGCAGGCUAGGUGUUAGGGCGGCUACGUGCCGCUCUAGUGCCGCAGGGAAGCUGUUAAGCCUGCCGCUUGGGGAGUACGGCCGCAAGGCUGAAACUUAAAGGAAUUGGCGGGAAGGGCGAAUUC